CCGAAACCACAGUGAUCUACCCAUGUCCAGGCUGAAGCACAGGUAAAAAUGUGUGGAGGGCCGAACCUAUAUCCGUUGAAAAGGGUUAGGAUGAGGUGUGGGUAGGGGUGAAAUUCCAAUCGAACGUGGAGAUAGCUGGUUCUCCCCGAAAUAGCUUUAGGGCUAGCCUCGAGGUAGAGAUUGCAGGCGGUAGAGCACUGAUCAGGAGAGGGGCCUACCCGGCUACCAAACCCAGUCAAACUACGAAUGGCUGCAAUUAUACUCGGGAGUCAGACUACGACUUAUAAGGGCCGUGGUCAAAAGGGAAACAGCCCAGAUCAUCAGCUAAGGUCCCAAAUGCCGUGCUAAGUGGCGAAGGAUGUGGCGUUUCAUAAACAACCAGGAUGUUGGCUCAGAAGCAGCCACCAUUUAAAGAGUGCGUAAUAGCUCACUGGUCGAGAGACGCUGCGCCGAAAAUGUCCGGGGCUCAAGCACGGAACCGAAGCUAUGGCAUUGACUAUGUCAAUGGGUAGGGGAGCGUUCUUAACAGGAAGAAGCAUGACCGGAAGGACAUGUGGACCGUUAAGAAGUGAGAAUGCCGGUAUGAGUAUCGAAAAGAAAGGUGAGAAUCCUUUCCACCGAAAGCCCGAGGGUUCCUGAGCAACGAUCGUCGUCUCAGGGUAAGUCGGGACCUAAGCCGAGGCGGAGACGCAUAGGCGAUGGACAACAGGUUGAAAUUCCUGUACCGGAUACAAUCGUUUGAGCGAUGGAGCGACGCAGAAAGGCAUAUGAUCGCGCGACUGGAAGAGCGCGUCCAAGUGCGUAUGUUGAAUCGGAGGCAAAUCCCUGAUUCUGAAAGCAGAGACACGAUGGGGAGUUAUACGAAAGUAUGACGAACUCAUAGAUCCUACACUGCCAAGAAAAACUUCUAGUGAGAAAGUAUCCGCCCGUACCGUAAACCGACACAGGUAGGCGGGGAGAGAAUCCUAAGGUGCGCGGGAAAACCCUCGUUAAGGAACUCGGCAAAUUGCAUCCGUAACUUAGGGAGAAGGAUGACCUUAAGUAAGCGAAAGGGAGAAACCCCUGGAACAGAACAAGGUGGCAGAAAAGAGGCCCAAGCAACUGUUUACCAAAAACACAGGUGCCUGCGAAAGCGAAAGCUGAAGUAUAGGUGCUGACGCCUGCCCGGUGCUGGAAGGUUAAGGAGAGAUGUCAGAGCAAUCGAAGCAUUGAACUGAAGCCCCAGUGAACGGCGGCCGUAACUAUAACGGUCCUAAGGUAGCGAAAUUCCUUGUCGGGUAAGUUCCGACCCGCAUGAAAGGCGUAAUGAUUUGGGCACUGUCUCAACGAGGGGCCCGGUGAAAUUGAAAUACCUGUGAAGAUGCAGGUUACCCGCGACUGGACAGAAAGACCCCAUGGAGCUUCACUGCAGCUUGAGAUUGAAUCUCGGUGAUGCAUGCACAGGAUAGGUGGGAGACUAAGAAGUAUGGGCUUUGGCUUAUACCGAGUCGAUGUUGGGAUACCACCCUUGUAUUGCUGAGAUUCUAACACGGAGGCUAACAACCUCGUGGACCAUCUCAGGUAGGCGGUUUGACUGGGGCGGUCGCCUCCGAAAGAGU
rnacentral:rRNA from 1 species